AACGUAGGUCCCGAGCGUUAUCCGGAUUUACUGGGCGUAAAGCGUGUUCAGGCGGUCUAGCAAGUCGGGCAUGAAAUCUCUCGGCUCAACCGGGAGGGGUUGUCCGAUACUGCUGGGCUUGAGGGCAGCAGAGGGUGGUGGAAUUCCGGGUGUAGUGGUGAAAUGCGUAGAUAUCCGGAGGAACACCAGUGGCGAAGGCGGCCACCUGGGCUGUAACUGACGCUGAGGAGCGAAAGCGUGGGGAGCGAACAGG
rnacentral:rRNA from 1 species